ACAUGCAGUCGAGCGGACAGAUGGGAGCUUGCUCCCUGAUGUUAGCGGCGGACGGGUGAGUAACACGUGGGUAACCUGCCUGUAAGACUGGGAUAACUCCGGGAAACCGGGGCUAAUACCGGAUGGUUGUUUGAACCGCAUGGUUCAAACAUAAAAGGUGGCUUCGGCUACCACUUACAGAUGGACCCGCGGCGCAUUAGCUAGUUGGUGAGGUAACGGCUCACCAAGGCAACGAUGCGUAGCCGACCUGAGAGGGUGAUCGGCCACACUGGGACUGAGACACGGCCCAGACUCCUACGGGAGGCAGCAGUAGGGAAUCUUCCGCAAUGGACGAAAGUCUGACGGAGCAACGCCGCGUGAGUGAUGAAGGUUUUCGGAUCGUAAAGCUCUGUUGUUAGGGAAGAACAAGUACCGUUCGAAUAGGGCGGUACCUUGACGGUACCUAACCAGAAAGCCACGGCUAACUACGUGCCAGCAGCCGCGGUAAUACGUAGGUGGCAAGCGUUGUCCGGAAUUAUUGGGCGUAAAGGGCUCGCAGGCGGUUUCUUAAGUCUGAUGUGAAAGCCCCCGGCUCAACCGGGGAGGGUCAUUGGAAACUGGGGAACUUGAGUGCAGAAGAGGAGAGUGGAAUUCCACGUGUAGCGGUGAAAUGCGUAGAGAUGUGGAGGAACACCAGUGGCGAAAGCGACUCUCUGGUCUGUAACUGACGCUGAGAGCGAAAGCGUGGGGAGCGAACAGGAUUAGAUACCCUGGUAGUCCACGCCGUAAACGAUGAGUGCUAAGUGUUAUGGGGUUUCCGCCCCUUAGUGCUGCAGCUAACGCAUUAAGCACCUCCGCCUGGGGAGUACGGUCGCAAGACUGAAACUCAAAGGAAUUGACGGGGGCCCGCACAAGCGUGGAGCAUGUGUUUAAUUCGAAGCAACGCGAGACUUACCAGGUCUUGACAUCCUCUGACAUCCUAGAGAAUAGACGUCCCUUCGGGGCAGAGUGACGUGAUGCAU
rnacentral:rRNA from 1 species